GCGGGCGUAGCUCAGUUGGUAGAGCACAACCUUGCCAAGGUUGGGGUCGCGGGUUCAAGUCCCGUCGCCCGCU
rfam:Desulfurobacterium sp. K6013 contig40_length_11427_cov_407.481, whole genome shotgun sequence.